CUUGGGCCCCAGACACAGGGGGAAUGACCCAUUCUUUUUCCCCAGUUGUUACCCAAACCACGUCCCCUGCCAGCACUGUGGCACAGAUGGCGUCAGCAGUCCUUCCUUGGUCAGAAAUCCCAACAUCAGAGGGCAUGCAGAGCUCCUUUUGAUUAGGAGGGAGUGGAGACCUCUGCCCUCCGAAUGGAGCUAAUGGAAGAGGAAGGUAGCAGUACAAAUCACUUCCCUGAGUACAAAGGGAAGGUGUGAUUCUUCUGACAGCUGAGAGACUGGAUUCUUAAAAUGGAGUCAUCAAAUGUCAACACUGCAAGGGACAUUGGAGACCAUCUAUCAAAAUAGAUAAUUAUUCAUUCUCCUGCAAGGCGGAAGUGUGUUUCCCACCUACCAAGUGGGAUUUGAGAAAUAACUUGUCCUGGAGGUACACAAGUGAGAUUGUCUCUGUGACAACCUAGCCACCACGUUUCCACGAGAAGAUGAUUUUCAAGGUCUAAGAUAUUAACAGACAGAAAAUGAAAGCAAGACAGAUCCUCAACUGAAGGAAAAUUAUACAGAAAGUAGACACAGGACUUCUGAAGUUGAGAAUAUUAUCUAUUUUGAAAUAAUUUUUUAAUCUCUACAAACAAAUUUUAGGGAAAUUCUCUGAAACUUCACUCUGGAAAAUUAGAGAAGUUCUCAGGGGAAUAAAGCACUGAUUCCACCACGACUUUUUCAGUCUUUCAAAGAUGGUUAAAGCUUUCAUUUUUGAUCCUACCAAUCUUCCUCUAAUUCUCUCUCCAUCAGAUGGAAUAUACCCUCUCCAUAAUCUUCCUUUCCGGUCUAAACACAGCAACAAGAAAACUGGGUAUAAACAUAUCCCAGCCUUUCAGUAUAUGUACGUAGUUUGGUUAUUAUAAAUAUUAAUGGAUGAUGUAGAUGAAGACACAUUUCUGAAGUGAUGAAUUGCUUUCUGAAAGGACAAGUACAAAUGACCCAAGUGUCUUCAAAUUUGGAAGCAAGUCAGCUUUCCGUGUCUCUUAUUUUGCUGUACUCAAUCUGUGUCAAAGUGACUCAAGUUUAGUUUCCACUUAAAUAACGCUUCAGGAAACAAAUCACAUCAACUUGAUGAGAUUUCUUUUUACUUCAUCCUACUGUUUUUCAAAAUUACGAAUUGCUUGCCUUGACACUAAGGCAUCCAUGAUGAUUAACUUGGCUGAUUACUCAAUUAUUUCUUUCUAAAAUUAGAAACUUCAAAGUGCUUUUUUAUAUUUAAAUGACUAGCACUCGAGUAACACUGCUGAUCAAUCAUUUCAAGCUAAUGAUUAAAAACAGUGACCGUUCCUUUACUCUCCAUCACUACUCUAAACGGUGUGUCAGACACAGCAGGCUCGAUUUAUUGUCAGAGCAUUUUAACACCGGCCAACACAGAUGGAACACUGUUCAGGCCUUUAACACUCUUCACUUAAUAUCUGCUUUGAAUGGUUUUAGAAAGUGGCUAUUUCUCAAUUUAAAUUAUUUGAUUUAGUAAGCCACGUUCUUUUGGGAUGUGUUGUGUCCUAGAAGAAAUUUUGUAUUUUAAAAGCUACAUUUUCAUGGUUCUGCAUGGCACGGAGAAGACAACAAUUUCCCAAAUGGUUCCAAAAGGCAUUGAAUUAUUUAUUGAGAAAAAUGUGAUAGAACAAAGAGUGAAGAGUUGAUACAUCUUGUGUACUUUAGAUAUGAUACAAAUUAAUUUACUUUCAUUAAAUUUCGAAAUCAUUAAUUCAAUCCAGAAAUGACAGUGUUUUGUUUAAAUGAUACAAAAUAACAAUGAGCUACCUGGCUUGAGCAAUACAUUUCUCAAUAGAUGCUUUUGUUAUAUUCAUGGCUUCUCAUGUCCUUG